rnacentral:rRNA from 1 species
UACGAGGGGGGCGAGCGUUGUUCGGAAUCAUUGGGCGUAAAGCGCACGUAGGCGGUUCGUUAUGUCGGAUGUGAAAGCCCUUGGCUUAACCGAGGAAGUGCAUCCGAAACUGGCGAGCUAGAGUACUAAAGAGGAUCGCGGAAUUCCCGGUGUAGAGGUGAAAUUCGUAGAUAUCGGGAGGAACACCGGUGACGAAGGCGGCGAUCUGGGUAGAUACUGACGCUGAGGUGCGAAAGCGUGGGGAGCAAACAGG